UGGCGAACGGGUGAGUAACACGUGGGUGAUCUGCCCUGCACUUCGGGAUAAGCCUGGGAAACUGGGUCUAAUACCGGAUAGGAGCCAUUUUUAGUGUGAUGGUUGGAAAGUUUUUUCGGUGUAGGAUGAGCUCGCGGCCUAUCAGCUUGUUGGUGGGGUAAUGGCCUACCAAGGCGGCGACGGGUAGCCGGCCUGAGAGGGUGGACGGCCACAUUGGGACUGAGAUACAGCCCAG
rnacentral:rRNA from 1 species